rnacentral:snRNA from 1 species
GUGCUCACUUCGGCAGCACAUAUACUAAAAUUGGAACGAUAAAGAGAAGAUUAGCAUGGCCCCUGCGCAAGGAUGACACAUAAUUCAUGAAACGUUCCAUAUUUUU